CUUCAUAGUUGCUGCCAAAUUUUGAAAGACACCAUAGCUAGGGUUCUUUGCUUUCUCAAGCUCAUAGUAAGUGCAUCCUAGCCCCGUUUUUAAUGUUCUUCGCAUUUUUGAAAUCCUCGUAGCUCGGUUUAGCUUAUUUUAUCAAUAAUUCAUGUUAGGAUUCAUAUUUGGAAAAAUACCCAUAUGUGAAAAGUGUUUAUUUUUCUGUUUUAUGGUUAAAUAUGAAGCUAGAAAUUAUGUUAAACAACUUUUGCUAAGCGAUUUUAAACGAAAACGGGUAAAUUGACAUAAUUGGUAAAAAUACCUAAUGUUCAAAAGUGUGUGUUAGAGUGAGAAUUUGAUGUUGUCAUAGAAGGGAAAAAUGUUCAGCAUGUCAUAAAACAUAAGAAUAAGUGAUGAAGUUUAAUUUCCGAGCUAGGGACAAAAGUGUAAUUAUGCAAAAGUGAGAGGGCAAAAUUGUAAUUUUCAAAAAGUUGGGUGGUGGAUUAUUUUAAUAAAUGUGAACAUUAAAUGAGUUAAAUUUGCCAUUAUAGAUCAAGAAAAAUGAGAAGACUACCGCAAACGGGGAAAAGAGAAGAUAGUGGAGUAAAUUGCAAAAUUUCGAUAUUUUGCACCGAGGUAAGUAAACAUGUGAUUUAAUGCAUUAUUUUGACAUUAUUUGAUAUAUGUUGAGAUUUAUUGGAACAUAGAAUAAAUAUUUGAUAAAAAUUCUAAAAAUGUGGUUAAGUUGGGAAAUGUGGUAAAGUGUGGAAAAUAUGGGUUUCGGUUGAACACUCGGAAUAAGCCGGAGUUCAUUGAAUACAAAGGGGGUUGCUAAGUGCUGAUUCCCCCAAAGGGGUUGCUAAGUGCUGAUUCCCCGACUCAUUGGUGGUUGCUAAGUGCUGAUUCCACCGUAUUUUAAAUUUGAAUGGGGUUGCUAAGUGCUGAUUCCCCGACUAUUUGGUGGUUGCUAAGUGCUGAUUCCACCAUAUCCUUGAAUGUGAAAGGGGUUGCUAAAUGCUGAUUCCCCGAAUCACUAGUGGUUGCUAAGUGCUGAAUCCACCGAUAACGGUUAACAUUCCGAGUGUUCAACGAGUAAAUUGGGAAGGUGAAUAUUUAUAUAUAUAUGGUGGACAAGUUUAUGGGAGGAAUAUCGGGUUUGAUACUUAAUCAACCCAUGUACAAGAUGUGAGGAAAUAUCAAAAGUACAAAAGAAACAAUUUUAAUAUAAAACUGUUUUGAAUAACAGCAGUUGGGAAACUUUGAAAAAUCACCAUAAAUGGUGGAAAGUGAAUUGGAGGUUUAGUAAUAUAUGAAAUUAAAGCUGAGUGAGUCUAUUUUCAUAUGAAAGAAACAGAGCAAGCAAAAGAGUUGUAUAUUUGGGGAUAUUUGAAUUUAUUUGAGACAGGGCUGGAUUGAUUUCGAAAUCCCCUGUUCCAACUUUGGAAAAUCACCAAAAAUUGUACAAAAAUAAUUAUGGCUUGAAAUUUAUAUGCAGGGAUUCCUUAAUGAGUCUAUUUUUAAUAGAAACAAACGAGAAGAUUGUUUGAAUUUUGUACAGGGAGUUAAGUGAAUUUUAGUAAGGAGAGGUCAGGACUGUCGGGCAGUGAAACAGGGGAAAAUUUAAAGAAUAAACUGUACUGAUUGGCCAAACCAAAAAUUCUGAAAAUUUUAUGGUGGAAAUUUAUAUGAAUCUAGUUUUGGGGAAAAUUUACGGAAUUCAAUUUGGAGCCCUGUAGCUCCGGAUAAAAAUAAAUUAGUGACUAUGACGCAGAAAAAUAGCUUGCUGGAAAUUGAACAAAUUAUGAAAUUUAUUUGUGAUUAAAAUUAUACUAUGGUGUAAUCAUGUGAGAAAUUGAUUUAUCUGUCAUAUGUUUACUUACUAAGCUAUAUGCUUACUCGUUUCUUUUUAUUCUCCCCUUGAUUAUAGUGACAUCAAUCAUCUCGGAACUUGGGCGGAGUCAUAUAAUCAUCCACACUAUCAUCAACAUUUGGGUAUUUUGCAACUCAUAUUUCGGAAACAUGGCAUGUAUAGACGACUUUAUGUACUGUGGUGUAAACAAAUAUAUAUAUAUGUGUUUCGGUUUAAAAUGUAGGUGUUCAUUAUUAAAUAAAUUGUGUUUGAUCAUACAACUAUUUUUGGUUGGAUUAUUAUAUCUGUUUGAAAGUGUGAUUGAAAACUUGCAGGGGGUUGUAUGUAAAAACAAGCAGAAAUGCUGUCGAAAAUUUUUAAAAAAAAUUUAGUAAUAUCUCAUACUCUGUUCCGUUAAGGAAUACGAGUAAGGGGUGUUACAAUAAUUGCUCGAAUAAGUCACUCUGUUAAAAAUUUCGUUCAUCCACUAGCAGAUUGCUAACGUGGUAUUUACUAAAGCUAGGGACCUCUCUGUAAUUAGUUCAAG
rnacentral:lncRNA from 1 species